UGCCAGUUUAGUAGCAUCAAGAUGCUCUCACAGACUCAGCUUCUCUGGCUGCUAGUGCUCUGCAUUCAGGACUCCCACGGGGACAUUGUGAUGACUCAGACUCCAGAAUCUCUGGCAGUGUCUCCUGGAGACAGAGUCACCAUCAACUGCAAAGCCAGUUCCAGUGUUAGCAGCUACAUGGCCUGGUACCAACAGAAACCAGGACAAGCUCCUAAGCUCCUUAUCCACAGCGCUUCCACCCGCCCCUCUGGGAUCCCAGACCGGUUCAGUGGCUGUGGGUCGGGCACUGACUUCACUUUUAAAAUCAGCCGGGUUGAAGCUGAUGAUACUGGAGAUUAUUACUGUCAGCAGGGCUGGAUCUCACCUCCUAAGACAGUCAGAGGAUCUAACAGCUCCUCAGUCAGGUGAUGAGGUGGACAAAGAGCUGUCCUGCUAUCUUCUAAAGCAUCCAGGGCACCAUGUUCCACCCAGGAGAAGCAGGAGCGGAGAGGAAGCCCCAUUCUCUGCAGUCCUCACCAUACCAGAAUCACUAGGAAUAGCUUCCAGUGUUACAGUAGGCCCUGCAUGCCUGCAAUGUUACCUAAUGGCGUAGCAUAAGAACAAACACAACCUCCUCCUGUACAGACUCAUUUUCUAUCACUUGGGUUCCACCAGGCCCAGGCUCUAUCAGCUACUUGUCUGACUGAGUGCUGUUAAAGUGAUGGAGCAGGGCUCAAAGGAAGCAGAAAUGAACUGGGAUCCAGCUCUGUGGCCUAGCACCCCUUCCCCAGAUCGGGGAGAAGCUCUUCUGUACCUGACGCCUUUAUAAAAUACACGUUCAGAAAGGACAGGGAGGGGGAAAAUAGAGGAGGUGUUGCCUUGCAUCUUGAAGAUGAAUACGCUUGUACGGAGGUUGAGAUAGAAGUAGGAGCCAGACCCACUGAAAGUCUCUGUGUAAGAAUGAAAGGGGUAAAAAACAAGGGUGAUGUCACAAUAGGGGUCUGCUAUAGACCACCU